rnacentral:lncRNA from 1 species
GCAGCGCUGCUGGAGCUCAGUGCUGAAGGUCUGAUUAAUGUGGGCUGAUUUCUUCCAGGAAACACUCGUAAGGAGACGAUCAUCGCGAUGCAGAAGAUGGGUUAUCAGUCGGACCAUAUUAAAGUGUGGAAACGAGCCCAAGAGAAGAGGAAGAAGGAGGUUCAGGACCGGACUACAACUACCUGCUGAACAUGCCCGUGUGGUUCCUCACCUCAGAGAAGAAGGAGGUUCAGGGGAAAGAGGGCGGAGCCGAGGAGGUAAAGAGGAAGAACCGGACCUGGCCUACGCCUCAGGAAUGUGUCACCGGGGUGCGUUUAAUACAGAUUUAUAAGAGUUUAAUGAUUUAUCUUAUCAAUAAACACAUUAUUAGAUUAAAUAUUGAAUAGGGU